ensembl:lncRNA
AAAAAAUCGUAUUCAAUUUGAUGCCGAUCAAAUCCAAACCUGCUGCAGCCGAACCUCCAGCUGCACACUGACGCAUUUCUACAGGGAACAGAGAGAGAUACACUGACUAUAUACGUCAAACGGACAGGCGUAAAUGUUUUGUGUGUGUGUGUGUGUGUUUAUAUUGUGUAUUGCCCUGAGGAGGCUGAACUCUCGGCGGCUGCAGUGCGGAGAACUGAACCCUUACUGAACUCCACCAGCAGAACCCAGAACAGAGUGGACGCAUUAGGCAGCCAUAAGCUCUGUCACCAUUCCCAAUAAAUCCCAGCAGCCCGUUUACAGAGCAAUCACACACAGCUAUUCAGACCAGGGUGACCAAUCCAGAACCGGAUUCUGAGCUGAGACCUGAGUGGAGCCGGGUCUGACGUUCCUCUGAAUCAGAUAUCUGACUAAUUUAAUUAUGCAUGUGUCCCACGCCCAGCUGAAGAUGAUGUGUGAUCUCUCCUGAAGAUGUGCGCAGAACACAGUUCUGAAUAGAGUAUAUAUUUACAUAUUUACAGCAGGAUUAAUCCACUUACUGCCGUAUCCAACUUUAUUAGACCUUUCCUUACAGAGCUCCCACACGCUGAACCCACCCAGCUGGAUACCAUUCCACAGAGAAGAUCAUCAAUAUUAAACCCAAUAUCACACACAUAUAUAAAACAUAUACAUCUCCCACAACAUCUCCUACACUUCAGCUAGUCACGACAACUAUUAUAUUAUUUAAUAAAAGAAUAUUGUACACUGUAUAGGG